AUUGAACGCUGGCGGCAGGCCUAACACAUGCAAGUCGAGCGGAUGAAGGGAGCUUGCUCCUGGAUUCAGCGGCGGACGGGUGAGUAAUGCCUAGGAAUCUGCCUGGCAGUGGGGGAUAACGUCCGGAAACGGGCGCUAAUACCGCAUACGUCCUGAUGGAGAAAGUGGGGGAUCUUCGGACCUCACGCUAUCAGAUGAGCCUAGGUCGGAUUAGCUAGUUGGUGGGGUAAAGGCCUACCAAGGCGACGAUCCGUAACUGAUCUGAGAGGAUGAUCAGUCACACUGGAACUGAGACACGGUCCAGACUCCUACGGGAGGCAGCAGUGGGGAAUAUUGGACAAUGGGCGAAAGCCUGAUCCAGCCAUGCCGCGUGUGUGAAGAAGGUCUUCGGAUUGUAAAGCACUUUAAGUUGGGAGGAAGGACAGUAAGUUAAUACCUGGCUGUUUUGACGUUACCAACAGAAUAAGCACCGGCUAACUUCGUG
rnacentral:rRNA from 1 species